UACGAAGGAUCCAAGCGUUGUCCGGAUUUACUGGGUUUAAAGGGUGCGUAGGCGGACUUUUUAAGUCAGUGGUGAAAGCCUGUAGCUUAACUAUAGAAUUGCCAUUGAAACUGAAAGUCUCGAGUGUGGUUGAGGUAACUGGAAUAUAUCAUGUAGCGGUGAAAUGCUUAGAUAUGAUAUAGAACACCAAUUGCGAAGGCAGGUUACUGAGCCAUUACUGACGUGAGGCACGAAAGCGUGGGGGAUC
rnacentral:rRNA from 1 species